rnacentral:misc_RNA from 1 species
AAAUAACAUAAUUAAGAUAUAUGAAUUUGUACGUUCAUUAUUGCGUAUAUUGAAGGUUCUGCCUAUUUGGCCUAUGUACUUUUUUCUCAAGUUACACAUUUCUUCUCGUAAAUAUUUUAAUAUACAGGGGCAUUUUCCUUUAAAGUACUUAUUACAAGCUGUCGGAAGGAGAAGUUAUUGUGUCAGAGAAACGUCUGUUAUGACAUAUUAAAAAGUAUUAAUACAAUGAAAAUAGUAAUUGUUAAUUCAUCUUAAUAUGAAUCUUUAUCAAAUGACUACCAGGUCAAUUAACUACGGAAAAUUUUAUUUACAAAGGAACGCCCUGUAUUUCGCACUAGGGCGGUGAACAUUUUAUGUGUUUAUCCAAUCGAGGAACAAUAAAACAUGUUUUUUUUCAGUCAUAAUCUCAUUAUCAGAAACAAAAUCCAAACGAGCAAGUCUUUAUUAGGAUGAGUAAUAAGUAUCAAGUUUUUUUUUUAUAGUUGAUAAGAUACGUUAUCGCUCGCCCUCCCAUAACAGAUAGUGGAAGACUUUAAAUGUUAAUGUUAAAUGUGAUCCUUAUUUGAUCAGUUAUUAAUAAAGUAUACGUUGGUUGUGGGGAUAAAAUUGCGCAAAACGUGCACGUUGUAAUCUGUCAACUUUGCGUUAGGUAAAGUAUACACGUUGCGAUAUCACAAUUCAGAUCGUUAAAAAAAAUGACCAGUAAAGUAUCCCGGUGGAACAUUCGCUCACACUGGCGACGAUAAUGGGGUCGGUUGUUCUAAUUGUUCGCAUUGCGAUAAAUUAUUCAAAAUCGCGUUGCUUUAGUUCGUGUAGUUCUAUACCUGGUAGGUCCAUAUUUGAAACAGAAGUGGUGUUCGAUACUUGAAUAAUAAACAUUCGUUAAAAAUAAGUAAGAUGAGUGAACAUUCUGGGGAGACGCCGCACGGAUGUUUCAAAGUGCCGGACAACUUUUAAUACUUAGUUUUUAUCUUAAUAAAAAAAAACAAUUGCGGUUUAAUUAAGGUUUGCUGAAUAUUAUUCAUGUCAUUGUACAGAAUAUUGUCGACACAUAGUCUGUUAAUAAUUGUGACUUGUGUUGUUACUUGUAUUGAUAAGUAUAUCCUGUUUUAUAUCGUAAUCGACUGUGGUGUUAACUACAGCAUCCUUCCUUUUGGCGGUUACAACGCAAGUGGCUGUUUGCUGGUUAAAUAUUACCAAUAAUGAAGAAUUCUGUACAACUUUUUGUGCUGGUGAUAAGUGGUGUUUUAAUUGUCAUUAUAUCCGGAGAUUUGACCACAAUAACCAGCGACACUACUACAGACGAUUACUAUAAUUGCAGCACAGUGUCCCAAUUGGUUAAUUUAUCGACAAAUUCAUCGGCUAAUAAAAUUCAUAUAUCAUGGGAAAAAGUCAAUGACAGUCCCUUCUGUGAGGUAAACUACGAUAUAAAUGUAACAUUAUUAUCAGGAUUGCAAAUAAUUCCAUACUUUCGACAUGAAAAUCGAACUUUUCACACAAUAACAGACUUAGAGAGUUGCUCCAAAUACUUCGUGUCUAUUGCACCGACAUCAUUCGUUGAUUAUGAUGACGACAAAUCUUUUAUCCAAAAGUUUGAAAUUACAACACUACCCGAGAAAGUACAAAAUUUGAGUCUUCGCUUCCAGAAUGAUAUGAAUAUGACGCACAUAGAAUGGCUACCGCCAAAAAAUAAACAAUGCAUUUCAGAAUAUGUCGUUACAUGGAAUACAAAUAACGUUAUUAUAACGCCUAAUACGACAGCUAGUUUAGAAGGAUUACACUUUUGUGUAAAUUUUACCGUCCGAGCUAAGACAGAGCAGGACUCUGUUGGAGAAGUGGAAGCUUUAAUAAUUCCUGGACCUGUGCUCAAUCUAACAACAAAAGUUAAUUCUUCGUCAGUACUUCUGUCGUGGGACCCUCCAGAAAAUUCGGAAUGUGUAGAACAGUAUGUUAUAAAAUUGAACAACCAGUUUAUUGGUGUCACUUCGCAUACUUCCUAUCCAUUUAUAAAUUUAACGUUCUGUAUAAGUUAUAACUUUACCGUGAUUCCGGAAACUGUAGGAAGUUUUAGCAGGGGAGUGCCAAAUACAUUAAAAGAAGAAUUGUACCCUGAAGUGUUAGAUCCAGUGCAAUACCUCGAUAUUCCUGGUUUUGUCAAUCCCGAUGAAGUAAUUAGAUUUUCAUGGUCAGUGCCAUAUUCAGCCUACUUUUGCACAGUAACUUACGAGAUUCUGGUAACAAACUAUAACAGUGUCAAAGUGAAUACAACAAGGACAUUUUUUGAAAUCGAUACCAAAUAUGUUACUCCAUGUUCAGAAAUUAAAGUAUCCGUAACACCAAUUUUGAGGGAUGUCGUGGGACAAACAAGAAAUGCUUCUAUUAAAGUUGCUCCAAAAGUACCACAUCCACCCAUUCUUACAAACUACACAACGGGUUCUACAUGGAUUCGUUUUAAUUGGAAAAUUGAUGUUGCAAUAUAUAACUGUUCAACAACUAAUUUAAUAAAUGUUUCAUGUGUAAGCGAAGAAAGAGCAUUUUCUCUCAUAGAAAAUGUUACGAAAGAUGAUAUUUCAAUUAAUAAAACCGAACUUGUGCCAUUUACCACUUAUCUGUGUUGGGCAUACACAGCAAACCUUGCUGGACAAUCUAAUUACAGCAAAGUAACAAAUAUUACAACUAAUCAAGCACCACCAUCGAGCCCCACGCAUCUCAGAGUUGAAUCUUUAUCUAGCACUUCGUUUACCAUUGCAUGGGAACGUCCUAAGUAUAUACCAGGUCUACAGGGUGAUUACAGAUUAGAAAUAGAUUCUGAAGGUCCUCUCCACUAUAUUCCUGAAUUCUGCAAUGUUACAAGAGAAUAUAAUUUAGUCUACAGUAUUGGUUAUUUUAUUAGAGAAUAUAAUUUUUUAAAAGCGACACCAAAUUUCGGGUUUAGAAUACGACUGGCAGCAUCUACAGGGGCAGGAUUUGGCGAUUUUUCGCAAAUGUCAAUUGUGACACCUUCAGCCGGGCCCGAACCUGUUAGAGAUUUGAAAUAUAUGAUAAAGUACUUUCAAACGGAGCAGUAUCAGACGGAAAUUUAUAUUUCCUUUAAUCCCCCUUGCAAUACAAACGGAAAUUUAAGUAGUUAUGAUAUAAUAUUAUCAGGAUCGCGCUCUAAUUAUAAUUCCUACAUAUAUGAAAUACAACUGCAGAAAUUGCAACCCAUUCUUCGGAAUUUGUCAGCAGGAUACAACUAUAAUUUGACCGUUACAGCUGCAACAAAGGCUGGCUCAGGGACGCCUGUUAUAAAGCAAUUUAUUGCACCAGAUGGAGUACCACCGAAAAUGCUUGAUUCCUUGAUAGAACCAGAACAAAUUGAUUCUGGGACGGCAAAGUUCGUGUUUUCUAAUCGUUUAUUUUCGGAUGUAAAUGGAGACAUAAUUUAUUAUGCAAUAAUCUUAGCGGACGCAGAUUUUAAUGAAUCAACUUAUGGGUUUUGGAAUUAUUCUCAAAAUGAUUGGCCAUUUGUGGGCUUAUGGAACGAUGAAGCGGAAACAAUUUUACCUUAUCAGGCCACUCCCGAUUACUGGAAUCCGUUCAGAGAAUGCUCUAAGGUUUGCAAUUAUACAUAUAUACUGGGCGAUUCAAAAUGUACUCCAAACACGACUUGCAAUGGUUCCUUAAGGAAAGAUAGAAAAUAUUCCCUAAUUCUUAGAGGUUUUACCCGUCAUGGCUACCGUGAUAGUCUUCCAAUAUUCUUCGUCAUGUGUGAUCCCGCUUCACCAAUAUUCAAAUUGGAUGUUGCGAAAUUCAUUGGUGCAAUAGUUGGUGCAUUAUCUGCAUUAACUUUAUUCGGAUUUAUGUAUAUGAUUUGGAAAAAACAAAAUCGGUCUCCAAAACCGACAAAUGCGGCACCAAAACUGAGUGAAAUGGAUAACCUGCAACCCAUGCCGGUUCCAAUUCCAGUUAAUAAGUUUCCAGAAGUAUAUCGAGAUUUAAAAGUAAACAGUCAAAAGAUUAAGCAACAGUACACUUUGAUUAACACGAAAAGUUCUGAAGAAAUGUUACCUUAUUAUGCAGCCUUACUACCGAAUAAUCGAAAGAAAAAUAGUUGAUGAAACCAGAGUGAAAUUAAUAAACGAAAAGGAACCACGAAACGAUUACAUAAAUGCAUCCUUUAUAAAGGGUUAUUCGGGU